AUUGAACGCUGGCGGCAUGCUUUACACAUGCAAGUCGAACGGUAACAGGCCGCAAGGUGCUGACGGGUGGCGAACGGGUGAGUAAUGCAUCGGAACGUGCCCAGUCGUGGGGGAUAACGCAGCGAAAGCUGCGCUAAUACCGCAUACGAUCUCUGGAUGAAAGCGGGGGACCGAAAGGCCUCGCGCGAUUGGAGCGGCCGAUGUCAGAUUAGGUAGUUGGUGGGGUAAAGGCCCACCAAGCCAACGAUCUGUAGCUGGUCUGAGAGGACGACCAGCCACACUGGGACUGAGACACGGCCCAGACUCCUACGGGAGGCAGCAGUGGGGAAUUUUGGACAAUGGGCGCAAGCCUGAUCCAGCCAUGCCGCGUGCAGGAUGAAGGCCUUCGGGUUGUAAACUGCUUUUGUACGGAACGAAAAGACUCUGGUUAAUACCUGGGGUCCAUGACGGUACCGUAAGAAUAAGCACCGGCUAACUACGUGCCAGCCGCCGCCGUAACAC
rnacentral:rRNA from 1 species